ACCUGGGUGGCUCAGUCGGUGAAGUGUCUGACUUUGGCUCAGGUCAUGAACUUGCACUUUGUGAGUUUGAGUCCCGCAUCAGGUA
rfam:Felis catus isolate Cinnamon breed Abyssinian chromosome D1, whole genome shotgun sequence.